GCUAACUCUGUGCCAGCAGCCGCGGUAAUACAGAGGGUGCAAGCGUUGUUCGGAAUUAUUGGGCGUAAAGCGCGUGUAGGCGGCUUUGCAAGUCAGAUGUGAAAGCCCUCGGCUUAACCGAGGAAGUGCGUCUGAAACUGCAGAGCUUGAGUGUCGGAGAGGAUGGCGGAAUUCCGCAAGUAGAGGUGAAAUUCGUAGAUAUGCGGAGGAACACCGGUGGCGAAGGCGGCCAUCUGGACGACUACUGACGCUGAGACGCGAAAGCGUGGGGAGCAAACAGGAUUAGAUACCCUUGUAGUC
rnacentral:rRNA from 1 species